rnacentral:rRNA from 1 species
GAUGAACGCUGGCGGCGUGCCUAAUACAUGCAAGUCGAGCGAACGGACGAGAAGCUUGCUUCUCUGAUGUUAGCGGCGGACGGGUGAGUAACACGUGGAUAACCUACCUAUAAGACUGGGAUAACUUCGGGAAACCGGAGCUAAUACCGGAUGAUAUUUUGAACCGCAUGGUUCAAAAGUGAAAGACGGUCUUGCUGUCACUUAUAGAUGGAUCCGCGCUGCAUUAGCUAGUUGGUAAGGUAACGGCUUACCAAGGCAACGAUGCAUAGCCGACCUGAGAGGGUGAUCGGCCCCCCCGGAACUGAGACACGUUCCCGACUCCUACGGGAGGCAGCAGUAGGGAAUCUUCCGCAAUGGUCGAAAGACUGACGGAGCAACGCCGCGUGAGUGAUGAAGGUCUUCGGAUUGUAAAACUCUGUGAUUAGGGAAGAACAUAUGUGUAAGUAACUGUGCACAUCUUGACGGUACCUAAUCAGAAAGCCCCGGCUAACUACGUG